GCUGCUGCUGCUGCUGCUGCUGCUGCUGCUGCUGCUGCUGCAUCAGCAGCAGCAGCAAGCGGAUACAGAGAAGAGAAAGGAAAGCUCAAU
rnacentral:snoRNA from 1 species